rnacentral:tRNA from 1 species
GCCAGCGUAGUUCAACGGUCAGAACAAGGGACUCAUAAGCCCUGGACAGAGGUUCGACUCCCCUCGCUGGCACCA